UACGAAGGGGGCUAGCGUUGUUCGGAAUUACUGGGCGUAAAGCGUGCGCAGGCGGCUUCUCAAGUCAGAUGUGAAAGCCCCGGGCUCAACCUGGGAACUGCAUUUGAGACUGGAGAGCUCGAGUUCGGGAGAGGAGAGCGGAAUUCCCAGUGUAGAGGUGAAAUUCGUAGAUAUUCGGAAGAACACCAGUGGCGAAGGCGACUUACUGGACACAUAUUGACGCUGAGGUGCGAAAGCGUGGGGAGCAAACAGG
rnacentral:rRNA from 1 species